rnacentral:misc_RNA from 1 species
UACGGAGGGGGCGAGCGUUGUUCGGAAUUACUGGGCGUAAAGGGCGCGUAGGCGGCGGUGUCAGUCGGGCGUGAAAGCCCCCGGCUCAACCGGGGAGGGCCAUUGGAAACUGGGAGGCUUGAGUAUAGGAGAGAAGAGUGGAAUUCCACGUGUAGCGGUGAAAUGCGUAGAGAUAUGGAGGAACACCAGUGGCGAAGGCGACUUUCUGGUCUGUAACUGACACUGAGGCGCGAAAGCGUGGGGAGCAAACAGG